rnacentral:lncRNA from 1 species
GGUUCCAAUGACCACCAAAUCAUGCUAAAACCCACCUAAUUAACAUUGAUACCAUCCAAAUAUGUCUAAACUACAUACAACAAUCAGUUCCACUUACAGGAAUGCAAAAACAAAAUUUAAGACAAUGACCAAGGAGAAAGUAAUUCAUGGGUCCCCACUUAUUAACACAUGGGUCCCCACUUACACUAUAACGGUUCCAAUGACCACCAAAUCAUGCUAAAACCCACCCAAUUAACAUUCAUACCAUCCAACUAUGUCUAAACUACAUACAACAAUCACUUCCACUUACAGGAAUGCAAAAACAAAAUUUAAGACAAUGACCAAGCAAAAUGUAAUUCAUGGGUCCCCACUUAUUAACACAUGGGUCCCCACUUACAGUAUAACGGUUCCAAUGACCACCAAAUCAUGCUAAAACCCACCUAAUUAACAUUGAUACCAUCCAAAUAU